CCCUUCGCGGUGCCACACUC
rnacentral:siRNA from 1 species